CGGACUUGGUUGCUGGCUUACCGCAAUUAUGAAAGGAGGAAAAAAGAAGGCAAGGAGGCCUGCACACCGUAAAAAAAGUGGAAGAGAAAAGGAAAGACCAAGCAACCCGGCUCUGGAUGAACAGAAGACCCGUCGGAAUUCAAGUUAAAAUCGGAAUUGAAAAAUUCGAAACAAAUCGCUUUAAAAAAUAGCGAAAUUAUUUGAAUUCGAAUUAGGGAUCACACGGCAUAUCAUCAUACUACUGCGAAAAAAAAAAAAAAACAAAAAGAACACGCCAAAAAACUUAGAUAGAAAAUUCCGAAGGGAAAUAUUAAGUAAUAAUCGGAAAUUAUUUAGGUUGGUUGGAUUUUAAAUUUAGGA
rnacentral:sRNA from 1 species